rnacentral:rRNA from 1 species
GUCUACGGCCAUACCACCCUGAACGCACCCGAUCUCGUCUGAUCUUGGAAGCUAAGCAGGGUCGGGCCUGGUUAGUACUUCGAUGGGAGACCGCCUGGGAAUACUGGGUGCUGUAGGCU